GACGAACGCUGGCGGCAUGCCUAAUACAUGCAAGUCGAGCGAACAGAUGAAGUGCUUGCACUUCUGACGUUAGCGGCGAACGGGUGAGUAACACGUAAGGAAUCUACCUAUAAGCGGGGGAUAACAUUCGGAAACGGGUGCUAAUACCGCAUAAUAUCUUCUUCCGCAUGGAAGAAGAUCGAAAGACGGCUCUGCUGUCACUUAUAGAUGACCUUGCGGUGCAUUAGUUAGUUGGGGGGGUAACGGCCUACCAAGACGAUGAUGCAUAGCCGACCUGAGAGGGUAAUCGGCCACAUUGGGACUGAGACACGAACCAAACUCCUACGGGAGGCAGCAGUAGGGAAUCUUCCGCAAUGGGCGAAAGACUGACGGAGCAAUGCCGCGUGAGUGAAGAAGGCCUUCGGGUCGUAAAACUCUGUUAUAAGAGAAGAACAAAUUGUAGAGUAACUGCCACAGUCUUGACGGUAUCUUAUCAGAAAGCCACGGCUAACUACGUGCCAGCAGCCGCCGUAA
rnacentral:rRNA from 1 species